UACGGGGGGGGCAAGCGUUGUUCGGAAUUACUGGGCGUAAAGCGCGUGUAGGCGGCUCUUCAAGUCGAGUGUGAAAGCUCCAGGCUUAACCUGGGAAUUGCGCUCGAUACUGUUGAGCUAGAGUGUGGAAGGGGCUACUGGAAUUCCGUGUGUAGCGGUGAAAUGCGUAGAUAUACGGAGGAACACCGAUGGCGAAGGCAAUCCCCUGGGCCUGCACUGACGCUCAUGCACGAAAGCGUGGGGAGCAAACAGG
rnacentral:rRNA from 1 species